UACAUCACGGUUCAUCAGUUGUAAUAAACAGAACGUUCGUGCAUGACAUGCUGCAAAAUUUGAGAAUAUAAAACUACACUACACAAACAAAAAUCAAUCGAAAAUACCCUAAUUCCCAAGGCAAUUUGAAUAUCUUUUCGAAAGCCAGAGAUCCUUGUAUAAAGAAAAAAUGAAAUUGAUUUAUUUAGUUGAAUCGUAAAAUUAUUGCCUAUAAAUUUAUGUACACAUAACAUAGACUGUGUUUCAAACUUUACACCUAAAUUGGGAAGCGAGUUGGUGGGGGUGGGGGUGGGGGUGGACGAGCAACAUCGUCGGUGACAUUUAUAUCGGUUCACGUGCAAUCUCCGUGGCUGCGGCCAGGAACGGUGGAGCACGGGUUUCUCUGGGAGCCUUGAACAGUGCCUCGUUGUAGUGCCUGUAUUGCUACAUUCUUAUAAAACAACAACACUUGGUUCUCUAUUAAUAACGGUCUUAUACCAGUUAUUUCUUGAGAACCAAAAAGCAUAAUUAUCGUUAC
rnacentral:lncRNA from 1 species